AAGGACAAACAUAUUCGGUCUACAAUUAAAAUGGACACGUUUAUUCACCCGACAAGCACAACUAGGUGGUAUGAGUUAGUUAUCCGCUGGGUGGGAGCGUUUCAUUCAAAACUGAGGAUAAUUUAAAGCACCAGAAACAGGAAACCUGAGCGCUUUAAACACCUGGAUUCAUCUACAGCCCUUCUGAGAGCAGCUACAUACAAACAGCAUCGAGGAGUCAUGGAGAGCAUCCUAAGUAGCUGCAUCACUGUCCGGUUUGGGACUUGCACUGUAUCUGACCGCAAGACUCUCCAGCGAGUAGUGAGGACAGCUGAAGAGAUCAUGGGGGUCUCUCUCCCAUCUCUCACAGACAUUUUCAACAAUCGCUGUGUCCGCAAAGCUCUUAGCAUUGUGGAGGAUCCAUCACAUCCGUCGUUAUAUUACAAACAUAAUAUUUUAAAAGGAUUACAUUAGUUACCUAUACCUACAGUUGUAUAGAGCUUGUGGUCCAUCUUUUUUGAUUAAGGGUCGUGAUGUAUAUAACAGUUAAUUUUUGUCCAGCUCACUCAGCCACCUUCUGUUAUUUGGCCUACACUGAUCUUGCACUGUUUUGGAUACUGCUUUUCGUGAUGCCACUCCUGCUGCCUGAGUGAAUCAAUAAACCAUUUUUAACCAUAAUUACAGACCAGUGUCAGGAGGCAGGAGAUCAGCAGUCAAUUAUGGCAAGACAAAACUUUUUCUUUUUUUUUGGCAAACUUAGAAUAAAUAAAAAUAUUUGAAAUAAAAUAUUGAAAAAUGUG